AUGGUACGGCAACGACAGCUUUAUUCAUUUGAAUAAAGAGGAAAGUCCGGGCUGCAGUGAGACAGGGUUCCAUCUAACUGAUGGCCAUGGUAACAUGAGGGAAAGUGCAACAGAAAAUGUACCGCCGUUACAUCAUUUGAACGGCAUUUGAGCGAAAGCCCAAAUAUUUACGCUACUAAAGCUACGUCUAACGAUGAGAUACUAUAGGUAUCAGACUUAAUGAGCUUGUGUUCAAGUGUUGUUCGAGUUGUAACGGUAAGGGUGAAAAGGUGGGGUAAGAGCCCACCAGUGCUUUCAGUAAUGCUAGCAGCUUGAAAACCCAACCCGCAGCAAGAAGCAAAUGGUUACAGUCUCACAAUGUAAUGCUUCGCUAGAGGUUUAUAGUAAUAUAAACAGUAGAUGAAUUGUCGUUUAAAUACAGAACUCGGCUUAUAGCUGUGCCAUACUC
rnacentral:RNase_P_RNA from 1 species